GAGUCAGCUGGGCAGUCGCUGGUUGCCGAUUUUGACGGUGGCGAGAGGAAAGUCCGGGCUCCAUAGGACAGGGUGCCAGGUAACGCCUGGGGGGCGAAAGCCUACGGAAAGUGCAGCAGAGAGUAGACCGCCGAGUGCAGACACUGCAUCGGUAAGGGUGAAAGGGUGCGGUAAGAGCGCACCGCACGGGUGGUAACAUUCCGUGGCUAGGUAAACCCCACCUGGAGCAAGGCCAAAUAGGAAUUCUUUGACGUGGUCCGCGUUGAAUUCGGGUAGGCCGCUCGAGGCUGCUGGUGACGGUAGCCCUAGAUGAAUGACUGUCCUCGACAAAACCCGGCUUAUAGGCUGACUCA
rnacentral:RNase_P_RNA from 1 species